rnacentral:rRNA from 1 species
GACGAACGCUGGCGGCGUGCUUAACACAUGCAAGUCGAACGGUGAAGCGCCUUCCUUUUUGGUGGGUGUGGAUGAGUGGCGAACGGGUGAGUAACACGUGAGUAACCUGCCCCCUUCUCCUGGAUAACCGCAUGAAAGUGUGGCUAAUACGGGAUAUUCUGGGUCUGUCGCAUGAUGGGUCUGGGAAAGAUAUUGUUUCGGUUGGGGAUGGGCUCGCGGCCUAUCAGCUUGUUGGUGGGGUGAUGGCCUACCAAGGCGGUGACGGGUAGCCGGCCUGAGAGGGUGGACGGUCACACGUGGACUGAGACACGGCCCAGACUCCUACGGGAGGCAGCAGUGGGGAAUAUUGCACAAUGGGCGCAAGCCUGAUGCAGCGACGCCGCGUGAGGGAUGGAGGCCUGCGGGUUGUGAACCUCUUUCGCCAGUGAAGCAGGCCUGCCUCGUUUGUGGGUGGGUUGACGGUAGCUGGAUAAGAAGCGCCGGCUAACUACGUG